UUUGGGAUUUAGCUGGUUCAUGAAUCGACUAAUUCAGGAUACUGCCAGCUGGAAUCUGAACAGCCUGAUUACACUGUCUUCAAUGCAUAAAAGAUGAGCUAGUCCAUGAGUCCUGUCUCAUGGUCCCUUCUAUUCCUUUUCACAUCCCAGCACAACAGUUAGGAGAGAAGUGAGCUGGAGCUCUCUCUGCAGUCCCCUGAGCUCUAUUGGCUCAGCUUCCCAAGCUUAUAGUGGAACUGUGAAGCCAUGAGAAGCUGCCUGAUGUACUAGCUUUAAAGCACACCUCAG